GGCGGAAAUACGGUUGCAAGCGAAGUCCAUGUGAUCCGCGUAUGAACUGCCGCUCAGUAACUAACUCCCGAACGCAACGGAACCUUGGAUUUGAUUAUUACAAGACUCAAGACUGUUGUUUUACUACGUUAUUACGGCGGAUGAAAAUGGACUAAAUGGAACUUGCGAUGAAACAUUUGCAUUCAGGGAAGUAACUUUUGUAUUUUUGUACUUUGAAGUGUAGUUUGACGAAUAUAACCGUCAUAAAGUUUGGGUCUUUUAAAAAAUUCUGUGGAAAGGAAAUCAUCGUCAAAAGGAAAAUAUCGUUACUUGCUGCACAACCUUGAACGUAUCUUCUUAGACUUGAAAAUUCGAAAUGGAAUGGGAACACGAAGAACUGGAACGAAUCGUGUUCCAGUUAAAAAGAAAAAAAUAUUUUUAUGCAUUCGACGAGGAUUUUUUUGGGUAAAUG